AUUUACCUUAACAUCGGGUCUGACAACCGUGUCGCUUACGACGCAUUCUAAUCAUUAACCAUGUCAACUUCAAAAAGUUCCAAGGUGAGAUUCUAGAAAAAAAAACGAUUUUUGUGAAUAUGUGUUCAUUUUGCAGGUGCGAAUACGGAAUUUCAUCGGGCGAAUCUUCUCUCCCAGCGAUAAAGACAAGGAUCGAGACGAUGAGAUGAAGCCAUCCUCGUCCGCAAUGGAUAUUAGUCAGCCAUAUAACACAGUGCAUCGGUACGGUUUUUUUUUCUAAUAUUCUCCAACAAACCCCAAAUAUUUGCAGAGUCCACGUUGGAUACGACGGCCAGAAGUUCAGCGGACUGCCGCAACCAUGGAUGGAUAUUCUUCUCCGAGACAUUAGGUAAAGCAUCCCAUCCCCACGUGGCGUCAGGCUGUCCCAUGACGGUUUGAUCUACAAAAAAUGCGGGAAUUUUUUGCCCUGGAAAAUGUGACGUCAGUUGAGAACUCUGCGUCCCUUCUCCCGCAUUUUUUGUAGAUCUACGUAGAUCAAGCCGAAAUAAGACGCCCCGUGUCCCCCGGUUCUCGGUUCCCAUUAACAAAUUCUCAAAGCUAUUUCAGUCUUGCCGAUCAGAAGAAGGAUCCGAACGCGGUGGUGACUGCGUUGAAGUUCUACGCACAAUCAAUGAAGGAGAACGAGAAGACGAAAUUCAUGACGACGAAUAGUGUUUUCACGAAUAGCGAUGACGAUGAUGUGGACGUUCAGUUGACCGGACAAGUCACGGAACAUUUGAGGAAUUUGCAGUGUAGUAAUGGUGAGAUUUAGUGGAAAAUAGAGAAAAUUCUCAAAUUGUGACUUCUAAAUUGACAAAAACAAUUUCGCAAACUUUUUUUGUAUUGCAGUUGCACGAAAUUAACGGUAUUUUUUUUUCUUAUUUUGCGAAUUUUGGCAGCUUAAAUCACUUUUUUUUCGGUGAUUUUGGUUCAAACCAAUCGUUAAAAAAUUAAAAAAAAAAAAAAAAAUGACAAAAAUCAGAUAAAUGUCAAUUUCCGGCGACUGAGACAUAGAAUAGUUGUGAAAAUUGAACAUUUUGAAUAUAAUGAGCCAAUUUUGUAAGAAAUUGUUAUAAACUGCCAUCAAAUCUCUGUUUUAUCUCAUGAAAAUCUCAUUUUUGCCCAAAUCUACAAUUUUGCAAACUUUUCUGUGAUGCAGCUGUAAAAAUAGGAUUAUUUUCCUAUUUUGGCAGCUAAAGGCCCUUGUUUUUUCUGAUUUUGGUUCAAACCAAUAGUUAAAACACCUAAAAUAUGGCAAGAAUGAUCGUGGUGUCAGGCUGUCCCAUUACGGUUUGAUCUACAAUAAAUGCGGGAAUUUUCUCGCCCAACAAAUGUGACGUCAGCACGUUCCUGUGAACUUUGCGUCUCAACUCCCGCAUUUUUUGUAGAUCUACGUAGAUCAAACCGACAUGGGACACUCUGACACCAUGCGAAAUCAGUUAUAUGUUAAGGACCGAGCACAAAUUUUUAUUGCAGAUUUACAAAAUUUCCGGCAAAUUGGUAAACCGUCAAAUUGCCGGAAUUGUAAAUUUCCGGCAAACCGGCAAAGCGCAGUAAUUCAAAAUUUCUGGCAAAUCGGUAAAACGUCAAAUUGCCGGAAUUGAAAAUUUACAAUUCCGGCAAUUUGACGGUUUACCGAUUUGCCGGAAAUUUUGUAAAUCUGCAAGAAACUUCUUUUUUUUUUGAAAUCUUUUGCAUUUUCCAUCCCUAAAAUCCGCGUAUCUUUGCAGGUUCCGCAACUUCCCCAUCUACAUCAGUGUCAGCUUCAUCUUCUUCUGCUCGUCCACUGACAAAUGGAAAUAAUCAUCUUUCCACGGCGUCGUCUACCGACACAUCUCUCUCAUUAUCGGAAAGGAAUAACGUUCCGUCUCCAGCUCCAGUUCCAUAUAGUGGUAAGUGAACAUACACAUAAAUCUUUGCAAUAAUUCGAUUUUUUUUUCAGAAAGUGCUCCACAACUGAAAACAUUCACCGGAGAGACUCCAAAACUGCAUCCACGAUCUCCGUUCCCGCCUCAACCGCCAGUUCUUCCGCAACGAAGCAAAACCGCAUCGGCAGUGGCGACGACGACGACGAAUCCGACGACUUCGAAUGGAGCACCACCACCAGUUCCUGGAUCGAAAGGACCCCCGGUGCCACCGAAACCAUCGG
rnacentral:sRNA from 1 species